rnacentral:lncRNA from 1 species
AUUGAGCACUGACUCUGUGCCAGGCACUGUGCUAAGUGAUUUGCAUGUAGUGUCUCGUCCAGUCCUCCCAACAAACACAUCUGGGAAGCUGUAAAUGUGUUGUCCUCUCAAAGCCAGCUCCUGCCUCAUGGUGUUUCUAUUUUGGCCCAGAGAUGUUAUGAACAACAUCUGCCAGACGUUGGAACCAACGUCCAUUCUUCUCUGGUGCAGUGGACAGGACCUGGGUCUCAAACACAAUAAGGACACAAAACUGAGGACAACUUCGCAUUUUGGACCCAGAGGGACUAAAAGAAUCUAGUUGCUCAAUUAGAAGACACUUCACCUGCCCAUUCUCAUUGGUGAGUGCACGUUCAUAGUCUUUGUUCUCAGCAGUGUCUGCAAUUGUUAGC